rnacentral:rRNA from 1 species
CGGGACGGGUGAGUAAUGUCUGGGAAACUGCCUGAUGAGGGGGAGUAACUACUGGAAACGGUAGCUAAUACCGCAUAACGUCGCAAGACCAAAGAGGGGGACCUUCGGGCCUCUUGCCAUCGGAUGUGCCCAGAUGGGAUUAGCUAGUAGGUGGGGUAACGGCUCACCUAGGCGACGAUCCCUAGCUGGUCUGAGAGGAUGCCAGCCACACUGGAACUGAGACACGGUCCAG